rnacentral:rRNA from 1 species
GGACUACCCGGGUAUCUAAUCCUGUUUGAUCCCCACGCUUUCGUGCAUCAGCGUCAGUUGUAUCCCAGUAAGCUGCCUUCGCAAUCGGUGUUCUGUGAUAUAUCUAUGCAUUUCACCGCUACACAUCACAUUCCGCCUACCUUAUUUACACUCAAGUUAUGCAGUUUCAAAGGCAAGCUUAUAGUUAAGCUACAAGAUUUCACCUCUGACUGGCACAACCGCCUACGCACCCUUUAAACCCAAUAAAUCCGGAUAACGCUCGAAUCCUCCGUAUUACCGCGGCUGCUGGCAC